UCCCCUCUUUAAAAUCACCAUCCUCACCCUUCUCACAUGCUAGAUGGCUUCACGAUCUAUUGUCACAUCAAAUAUGAUAUAUCAUGGCAUAAAUUUUCAUGCUGAUAAAUGGUAGAUUUGAUCUUAUGAUUAUAGCAUUUUGUUGGUUGGUGUAGAUACACCCUCCAACAGAAUAAAUUACAAUGACGUGAAGCGGCAGGGGAAUCUUUCGGAAAUGGUC
rnacentral:lncRNA from 1 species